rnacentral:rRNA from 1 species
UACGUAGGGGGCAAGCGUUGUCCGGAAUUAUUGGGCGUAAAGAGCGUGUAGGCGGUCCGGUAAGUCAGCUGUGAAAGUCAAGGGCUCAACCCUUGAAUGCCGGUUGAUACUGUCGGGCUAGAGUCCGGAAGAGGCGAGUGGAAUUCCCGGUGUAGCGGUGAAAUGCGCAGAUAUCGGGAGGAACACCAGUGGCGAAGGCGACUUCCUGGCCUGUUCUUGACGCUGAGGCGCGAAAGCUAGGGGAGCAAACGGG